CAACACAACCAACUAAUAGCCUAACACACUGCGGGUCGCUACAGUAUACAGUUUUACUCUAUUAGUAUAGACAUUUACUCAGUAAGUGUAAACAGCAUCACAACUACGCCCAUAAGUUCAGUUUCUGCAUUCAAAUUUCCUUUGUUGGAUCAACAAAAUCCUAAUUUGUUCCACGACAACUGCUUACUAUAUAUUGAGGACUAAUCUGAUUUAAGACCCAGUCAUGUUGAUCAGGGUGAAAUUCAAUGGUGAACAAAAAUAUGUCAAGGUCAUUGACCUGACACGUGAAAACCUUUUGAUUGGAGGUAAACUUUUAAUUUGUGAAUGGAAAUAAAUGUAUUGUGUUCAUACAUUUACAAGUUAGUCUGAMUACUCUUACCAUUACGAUUGCAAUUCUAAUUGGAGGUUGUUUUAAUGUUUG